rnacentral:rRNA from 1 species
UAAGGAAUAUUGGUCAAUGGGCGAAAGCCUGAACCAGCCAUGCCGCGUGAGGGAUGAAGGUCCUCUGGAUUGUAAACCUCUUUUAUCUGUGAAUAAAUGUCUCGUUUCUACGGGAUUUGAAGGUAAUAGAUGAAUAAGCACCGGCUAACUCCGUGCCAGCAGCCGCGGUAAUACGGAGGGUGCAAGCGUUAUCCGGAUUCACUGGGUUUAAAGGGUGCGUAGGUUGAUGGGUAAGUCAGUGGUGAAAUACUCCGACUCAAUCGGAGAACUGCCGUUGAUACUAUCCAUCUUGAAUACGGUGGAGGCGGGCGGAAUGCGUCAUGUAGUGGUGAAAUACUUAGAUAUGACGCAGAACACCUAUUGCGAAGGCAGCUCGCUACACCGGCAUUGACACUGAGGCACGAAAGCGUGGGGAUCAAACAGGAUUAGAUACCCCGGUAGUCC